rnacentral:rRNA from 1 species
AUGGCCGGUGACCCGUCUUCUCCUCUGCCUCCAUUGUUCCUCCUCCGCUGCUCUCCAUGCCCUAGGCGGCGCUCCCAUUCAUGGCCGACGAGCAGAAGCUUCAGCCUCCGUCGCGCCCCGAGGUACUCCGUCGCCGCGCGCCCAGCCGGCUCCCUUUUCCUCUUUGUUCUCCGCUGCAGGUCACCGGCCAUCCGUGCUGCAACCCAAUCUCUUCUCAAUCCCGCCCCUGUCAAAUCUUUAAAUCUCCUCUUAUUUCAACUUUUCAUAUCCAGGACCGUAGUGAUGAUCUCAGUUUUUAAAUAUAGAUGGUUGAUGCAUCAUAUGAGGAGGUGUAGUACGCAUGAUGUUUUCAAGAAAGGAGGCCCCGGUUGGUACUUGAGGCCGUCAAGUUGA